AUGUCGUCAUCCAACAACAUCGAUGAUGAAGAACAAAAAGAAACUAGGGAGCUGCACCCUGAUGAUAUUGGUCAGCUGGAACAAGAUGAGGAAGAACAAAGCCGAGAUGGGAAUGUUGGUGAGGGAUAUGCACCGAGAUGUAAGAAACUAAAGAUGCAUGAUCAUAACCUGCCUGUUCAAUUCCCAUCCAUGCUUUCGUCGAACCAUUUUGAUAACCUAAUCCGACGUCGCGAGGUGCAUCACAUCCCUCAUGCACAUGUCCCCUUAGGUUGGGAUAUCCAGCGUGACAGGGGGUCAAGUGCAGCAAGGAAAGAUGUUUGGGGUACCAACAACUAUGAGAUUCUGCAGGCACAAAAGCAUACUAGCAUGUUGGUGCAGGUUUUGAUUGACCACAUAAAUCAUUUGACGAAGGUGGUCGAGAAGCAUAUUCAAGCAUGUGAUAAGAAGCCACCACCAGCUGAUAAGGACGAAGCAUAA
rnacentral:rRNA from 1 species